UGUGAGCUCGAUGAGUAGGGCGGGACACGUGGUAUCCUGUCUGAAUAUGGGGGGACCAUCCUCCAAGGCUAAAUACUCCUGACUGACCGAUAGUGAACCAGUACCGUGAGGGAAAGGCGAAAAGAACCCCGGCGAGGGGAGUGAAAAAGAACCUGAAACCGUGUACGUACAAGCAGUGGGAGCACGCUUAGGCGUGUGACUGCGUACCUUUUGUAUAAUGGGUCAGCGACUUAUAUUCUGUAGCAAGGUUAACCGAAUAGGGGAGCCGAAGGGAAACCGAGUCUUAACUGGGCGUUAAGUUGCAGGGUAUAGACCCGAAACCCGGUGAUCUAGCCAUGGGCAGGUUGAAGGUUGGGUAACACUAACUGGAGGACCGAACCGACUAAUGUUGAAAAAUUAGCGGAUGACUUGUGGCUGGGGGUGAAAGGCCAAUCAAACCGGGAGAUAGCUGGUUCUCCCCGAAAGCUAUUUAGGUAGCGCCUCGUGAAUUCAUCUCCGGGGGUAGAGCACUGUUUCGGCAAGGGGGUCAUCCCGACUUACCAACCCGAUGCAAACUGCGAAUACCGGAGAAUGUUAUCACGGGAGACACACGGCGGGUGCUAACGUCCGUCGUGAAGAGGGAAACAACCCAGACCGCCAGCUAAGGUCCCAAAGUCAUGGUUAAGUGGGAAACGAUGUGGGAAGGCCCAGACAGCCAGGAUGUUGGCUUAGAAGCAGCCAUCAUUUAAAGAAAGCGUAAUAGCUCACUGGUCGAGUCGGCCUGCGCGGAAGAUGUAACGGGGCUAAACCAUGCACCGAAGCUGCGGCAGCGACGCUUAUGCGUUGUUGGGUAGGGGAGCGUUCUGUAAGCCUGUGAAGGUGUGCUGUGAGGCAUGCUGGAGGUAUCAGAAGUGCGAAUGCUGACAUAAGUAACGAUAAAGCGGGUGAAAAGCCCGCUCGCCGGAAGACCAAGGGUUCCUGUCCAACGUUAAUCGGGGCAGGGUGAGUCGACCCCUAAGGCGAGGCCGAAAGGCGUAGUCGAUGGGAAACAGGUUAAUAUUCCUGUACUUGGUGUUACUGCGAAGGGGGGACGGAGAAGGCUAUGUUGGCCGGGCGACGGUUGUCCCGGUUUAAGCGUGUAGGCUGGUUUUCCAGGCAAAUCCGGAAAAUCAAGGCUGAGGCGUGAUGACGAGGCACUACGGUGCUGAAGCAACAAAUGCCCUGCUUCCAGGAAAAGCCUCUAAGCAUCAGGUAACAUCAAAUCGUACCCCAAACCGACACAGGUGGUCAGGUAGAGAAUACCAAGGCGCUUGAGAGAACUCGGGUGAAGGAACUAGGCAAAAUGGUGCCGUAACUUCGGGAGAAGGCACGCUGAUAUGUAGGUGAAGCGACUUGCUCGUGGAGCUGAAAUCAGUCGAAGAUACCAGCUGGCUGCAACUGUUUAUUAAAAACACAGCACUGUGCAAACACGAAAGUGGACGUAUACGGUGUGACGCCUGCCCGGUGCCGGAAGGUUAAUUGAUGGGGUCAGCGCAAGCGAAGCUCUUGAUCGAAGCCCCGGUAAACGGCGGCCGUAACUAUAACGGUCCUAAGGUAGCGAAAUUCCUUGUCGGGUAAGUUCCGACCUGCACGAAUGGCGUAAUGAUGGCCAGGCUGUCUCCACCCGAGACUCAGUGAAAUUGAACUCGCUGUGAAGAUGCAGUGUACCCGCGGCAAGACGGAAAGACCCCGUGAACCUUUACUAUAGCUUGACACUGAACAUUGAGCCUUGAUGUGUAGGAUAGGUGGGAGGCUUAGAAGUGUGGACGCCAGUCUGCAUGGAGCCGACCUUGAAAUACCACCCUUUAAUGUUUGAUGUUCUAACGUUGACCCGUAAUCCGGGUUGCGGACAGUGUCUGGUGGGUAGUUUGACUGGGGCGGUCUCCUCCUAAAGAGUAACGGAGGAGCACGAAGGUUGGCUAAUCCUGGUCGGACAUCAGGAGGUUAGUGCAAUGGCAUAAGCCAGCUUGACUGCGAGCGUGACGGCGCGAGCAGGUGCGAAAGCAGGUCAUAGUGAUCCGGUGGUUCUGAAUGGAAGGGCCAUCGCUCAACGGAUAAAAGGUACUCCGGGGAUAACAGGCUGAUACCGCCCAAGAGUUCAUAUCGACGGCGGUGUUUGGCACCUCGAUGUCGGCUCAUCACAUCCUGGGGCUGAAGUAGGUCCCAAGGGUAUGGCUGUUCGCCAUUUAAAGUGGUACGCGAGCUGGGUUUAGAACGUCGUGAGACAGUUCGGUCCCUAUCUGCCGUGGGCGCUGGAGAACUGAGGGGGGCUGCUCCUAGUACGAGAGGACCGGAGUGGACGCAUCACUGGUGUUCGGGUUGUCAUGCCAAUGGCACUGCCCGGUAGCUAAAUGCGGAAGAGAUAAGUGCUGAAAGCAUCUAAGCACGAAACUUGCCCCGAGAUGAGUUCUCCCUGACUCCUUGA
rnacentral:rRNA from 1 species